CGGUAUAAAUACUGAUGUAAAUGUUCAAAUACAAAUUAUAAAGGCUCUUCUAACAGCUGUUACAUCAAGUACUUGUGAAGUUCAUGAAGGAACUUUACUUCAAGCAGUUA